CCGACCUCUCGCCCCCUCUUUCUUCUUCUUCCCUCUGCAAGCGCCAGAAGCCACUAUCUCCGGCCACCACCUUGCAAAAUCGCCACCACCCAUCAAUGCAGCACGAAGAUGCGACCCAAACCCAAGAGAAAUUGAAGCCAUGCAUCGACCCCAACCUCUCUCUUUCGUUCUCCUUCUCUCUGACACCGCCGGAGACUCCAGCUCCGGCCACCAUCUCACCACACCGUCACCACUAAUCGAACCAGCACCAAAAUCUGACCAAAGCCCAACUGAGAUCACCACUAAGCGUCGUCGUUAAUCUCCACAGACGACCACCACAGUCCCGCCGGGUUGGCCGGCCAGAGCUUCCAUCUCCGACCAUCAUUUCAACACACCGCCGACACCAACGUGCCCAGACCAAACCGAGCAUUGAAACCCCAAAGUUUCGCUGACGAUCGACGCCGGAAGACUACCGCACGCACCGUCACCGGAGUAUUACCUCUGCAUGUCUUCGUUUUCCGGUCUCCAGUUCAAACCGAGUGAAACCACCAUCAAGAAUCGAAUCAGCGCCUUGUCAAACACCAAAACCCUAGGGCCCCGACCUCCGACUCCGACCAGAGCCGCCGCACGCGCUUCACGCGCCGUCGCUGGCGUAUGAGCCACGGUAGCUCCGUCGCCGGAAAUCGUCAGGACUUCUCGAUUAGGUAUUUUUCCGUGAUUUCUCUUUAGCUGGAGCUUCUGGUGUGAAUAGAGUAAACCCUAAUUUUGUGUUGUUUGAUUUGGAAUAUGGGAGGUUUUGUGGAGUCUGCAAAUUUGGGAUUUCUGGAGAGAAGAAGCUCCUGGGUCAGUUCCUAUUGAAAGGGGAAAUAGGUGCGAUACAGGGUGAAGAGUGUGGCCUCGGCAGAACUGAAAAUGGAUGGAGACCUGAGGUUUGGAUGUAGGGCAGUGAAUCGAAAACCACCGCUGCACCAAGUCAAGGAAUUCUUUUAAGGAACAUGGACUCGAGCGUGUGCACAUGAAAUUGGGAGAAGUAUCGAAAAUCUGAAACGAAGCUAAGUUUGGGCGAGCACUCCAUAUCCAGGUAGGGUGAGCUGUCCCUUCCUUGUUAGAGACUUUUCAGUAUAUGUGGAAUGCUAUACUAUGAUAGUAUGUUGCCUGCAAGAACGUUUUUGGUUGUUCAUUAGUCGAUGCCUCGUGAUACAUGUGUUUUCAGAACUGAUAAUUGCAAAUUGUGAAAACCGAGGCUAGACUUGCAUGUUGAGAUACUGUACCCUUGUAUGUGUGUACUUGUGACCUGAAAGUGAAUGGGACCUAGACGCGUAGAUUCCUAGGGAUCCCACGGUGUCGAUAACCGUGAACCUCCGGAGGGGGCCGUGCUCCUAUGUUUGUCGAGAAAAAGUGAGUAUAGACAGUGAACCAGUCAUAGGAGACUCAGGGCCAGGAAAUGGACACUUUCGCUACUUGUAGUCGGAAGUACUACAGAGUAGUUGGCCGGUUCUCGUACUCAGGACGAACCAGGUCGGUCACUGAUUUAUCUUAUUUUAGCCGGCAGGUAAGUAUCUCGGAGCUCCAAGUGUGUGAAGCAUACUGCACAUGUUUUAUGAAAGAAAACAAAU